UGGGGAAUUUUGGACAAUGGGGGCAACCCUGAUCCAGCAAUGCCGCGUGUGUGAAGAAGGCCUUCGGGUUGUAAAGCACUUUUGUCCGGAAAGAAAACGCCGUGGUUAAUACCCGUGGCGGAUGACGGUACCGGAAGAAUAAGCACCGGCUAACUACGUGCCAGCAGCCGCGGUAAUACGUAGGGUGCAAGCGUUAAUCGGAAUUACUGGGCGUAAAGCGUGCGCAGGCGGUCCGCUAAGACAGAUGUGAAAUCCCCGGGCUUAACCUGGGAACUGCAUUUGUGACUGGCGGGCUGGAGUAUGGCAGAGGGGGGUANAAUUCCACGUGUAGCAGUGAAAUGCGUAGAGAUGUGGAGGAAUACCGAUGGCGAAGGCAGCCCCUGGGCCAAUACUGACGCUCAUGCACGAAAGCGUGGGGGAGCAAACAGGAUUAGAUACCCUGGUAGUCCACGCCCUAAACGAUGUCAACUAGUUGUCGGGUCUUCAUUGACUUGGUAACGUAGCUAACGCGUGAAGUUGACCGCCUGGGGAGUACGGUCGCAAGAUUAAAACUCAAAGGAAUUGA
rnacentral:rRNA from 1 species